UGAGGAAUAUUGGUCAAUGGGCGCAGGCCUGAACCAGCCAAGUAGCGUGAAGGAUGACUGCCCUAUGGGUUGUAAACUUCUUUUAUAAAGGAAUAAAGUCGGGUAUGUAUACCCGUUUGCAUGUACUUUAUGAAUAAGGAUCGGCUAACUCCGUGCCAGCAGCCGCGGUAAUACGGAGGAUCCGAGCGUUAUCCGGAUUUAUUGGGUUUAAAGGGAGCGUAGAUGGAUGUUUAAGUCAGUUGUGAAAGUUUGCGGCUCAACCGUAAAAUUGCAGUUGAUACUGGCAGUCUUGAGUGCAGUAGAGGUGGGCGGAAUUCGUGGUGUAGCGGUGAAAUGCUUAGAUAUCACGAAGAACUCCGAUUGCGAAGGCAGCUUGCUGGACUGUAACUGACGCUGAUGCUCGAAAGUGUGGGUAUCAAACAGGAUUAGAUACCCUGGUAGUCCACACAGUAAACGAUGAAUACUCGCUGUUUGCGAUAUACAGUAAGCGGCCAAACGAAAGCAUUAAGUAUUCCACCUGGGGAGUACGCCGGCAACGGUGAAACUCAAAGGAAUUGACGGGGGCCCGCACAAGCGGAGGAACAUGUGGUUUAAUUCGAUGAUACGCGAGGAACCUUACCCGGGCUUAAAUUGCAUUUGAAUAUAUUGGAAACAGUAUAGCCGUAAGGCAAAUGUGAAGGUGCUGCAUGGUUGUCGUCAGCUCGUGCCGUGAGGUGUCGGCUUAAGUGCCAUAACGAGCGCAACCCUUAUCUUCAGUUACUAACAGGUUAUGCUGAGGACUCUGGAGAGACUGCCGUCGUAAGAUGUGAGGAAGGUGGGGAUGACGUCAAAUCAGCACGGCCCUUACGUCCGGGGCUACACACGUGUUACAAUGGGGGGUACAGAAGGCCGCUACCUGGUGACAGGAUGCUAAUCCCAAAAGCCUCUCUCAGUUCGGAUCGAAGUCUGCAACCCGACUUCGUGAAGCUGGAUUCGCUAGUAAUCGCGCAUCAGCCAUGGCGCGGUGAAUACGUUCCC
rnacentral:rRNA from 1 species